GAUUAGAAUACAAUUUUAUUGAAAUACAAUUUAGAUAUGGACAACGUUAGUUUUUUUCUGGUCAUGCAUUUGGGAAGAUGGGAUGAAAUAAUUACAGCUAUUAUGAUGAAAAAGUAUGCAACAUUUAGAGAUUUAGUGGAGGAAGUUGUUAAAAUAAUUAGUGUUGAUUUGACAUACAAUUGUAUGAAGUUGAAGUAUAAGAUCGAAGUUAGCAAUGCACCAUUGAAAAUACACAACGAGGUGAGUGUAAGAGUGUAUGUGUGUUAAAGAAAGAUAGCAGGAUUGUCAAAGUAUCCCCUACGUGUAACUGUAUUUGUGAAGGAUUGUGAAUUGUUUGAUAGAAAUCUUCAGGAACAAGGGGUAGGUAUGUGUGGAUUAGAUGCAGAUAAUACAUCUGAUAAAACAAACAUUAGUGCUUAGUGCGUCAUUCGUGAGCGAUGUGAUCAGCUGCGAAAAGAAAAGGUAAUGGUAGAUCAAGUUUAUAAAGACAAGGCAACAACAAAGGCUGUGAUGACACACUGCCAUUGAACAGAGAUUUCAGUGGAAAUGUUUGUGCUUUCGUCAUCCGGUAGCUAUGGCGGCAGAAAGAAUAGAUCAUACUCAUCACAUAUAUGUGCAUCCUUCAUAGCAGGCUACAGUAUACUAAACCCAGUCCAAUUGAAAGGAUUUGAGAAUUAUGGGCAAUGGCGUAGUCCAACGCUAAUUGCAUAGCAGGCUAAGAGGAAAGUAGGGCUUGUUGCAGGUGCGUAUAAGAAGGAUUCAUUUUGUGAGGAACAUCAUGAACAUUGGGAAACUUGCAGUGCUUUGGUUCUAUCUUGGAUCAUGAAUACAAUUUGCAAAUGCUCAACAAGGAGAAUGCAAAUAAGGGAACUACUGCAGUCUGCAGCUGCAACCAACACAACAGGACCUUCUCACUGUGCCUCAACUUCAGCUUCAAUUGUCGUCACCAAGCCUGAUGCGGAGCUAUGGCACAAGAGGAUUGGAAAGAUUCCAGUAGAGCUCUACAAUAAAUGUCCCUCAUAAAAUCAACUAGUCUUGAUAAGAACCUCUCUUGUUCUAUUUUUCCACUUGCAAAGCAAACAAGACUUUCUUUCACUGUUAAUGUCAGUAGAGCUAGUAAUCCUUUUGAUUUAGUCCAUGGAGAUGUUUUAGGUCCUUAAAAAACUCCCACAUAUGAUGUGAAUAUAGUUUUUCUUACAAUAGUAGAUGAUUAUAGUAGGAUGACUUGGUUGUUCUUAUUGAAACUCGAUAGUGAUGUUAAUACUGUAGUAAAAAAGUUCUUGUUGCUAAUAAAAAUCAGCUUGCUAUUUGUCAAAGUUUUCAUAAGUGAUGAUAAAACUAAGUUCCUUAAUGCACACUAUGAAGAUUUACUCAAGUCUGUAGGAGUUGUUCUACAGAGCUCAUGUGUUCACACAUUCCAAUAGAAUGGGAUGGUUGAACGAAAAUAUAGACAAAUGCUUGAGGUGGAAAGAUCUCUUAGAUUCCAAGAUCACAUACCCUUGAGAUUCUGGGGGUUAUGCGUUCAGAAGGCAGUAUAUUUCAUCAAUGGAAUACCUUUCAGGACCUUGCUAAACAAUCACCUUUUGAAGUUCUCUAUUGAAGAGAGUCAAAUGUACAGUACCUAAGAUUCUAGGUAGCUUAUGUUAUGCAACUAUCACCCAGGAUACUGGUGACAAGUUUGGACUCGGGACUGAGAAAGCAGUUCAUUUAGGCUAUUCUAGCACACCGAAAGGUUACCUUCUUUAUGGCAUUGAGAGGAAGCAAUUGUUUGUUAAUAGAUAUGUUGUAUUUAAGGAAGGUGUCUUUUCUUUCCAAACAAUGUCUGGCUCAGAUUCAUCUACUGACUCUCAUUUGCAGGUAUUAAAUUUUCAUAGCAUCAUUGUUUCAAACGCUACUUAUUCUCUCAGACAUAGUAGGGGAAGUUGGACCACAACAUCCAGGUUCACCUCCUAUAUUAGCUCCACCAGAACCUAUGGAACCUAGGAGUACCAAUAGAGUGCCCAAGCCUCCGAAUCGGUUGCAUGAUUUUGUCCAUACACCUCUACCUUCUAAUAUAGAAUCAAGAUCCAAUGCUUGUCUAUAUCCCUGGUCUGUAUGCAUCGUUAGCUACAUCGUAUUACCAUUCCAUCUGCUAUUAUUCAGCAAUUAAAGAGUCUACAUGUCAUAUUGAAGCCAUGAAGGACACACACCUGUUAGCUGCCACAUUGAAGCCAUGAAGGACACACACCUGUUAGCUGCCACGAAGUAGGAACUUCAAGCUCUCACCAAUAACAAAACUUGGUGUUUGGUUGAUAUGCCUACUGAUAAAAAGGUUAUUGGCUGUAAGUGGGUCUUCUAGGUGGAAGUAUAAUGCAGAAAGAGAAGUGGAAAGAUACAAGGAUAAGCUAGUGGAAAAGGGAUAUAUAAAAUACUUUCAUAGUCACUCUUUAAGUUUUGGCUUUGUGACUUCAGACUUUUUUAUCAACUCCAUCGAAUGAAAAACCACAUGGUCAGAAACAGGAGGAUAAAAAAGACAUCAUAUUAUCAUUACUCAAUAACAAAGAGAUCAAAAACCAGUACAAACAUCUUACUAUUAUCAAGAGAACCAUUUCGACAUGCUCCAAUUAAAAAAAG